AACGUAGGUUCCGAGCGUUAUCCGGAUUUACUGGGCGUAAAGCGCGUUCAGGCGGUUUGGCAAGUCGGCGAUGAAAUCUCUCGGCUCAACCGGGAGAGGUUGUCCGAUACUGCUGGACUUGAGGGCAGUAGAGGGUGGUGGAAUUCCCGGUGUAGUGGUGAAAUGCGUAGAUAUCGGGAGGAACACCAGUGGCGAAGGCGACUACCUGGCCUGUUCUUGACGCUGAGGCGCGAAAGCUAGGGGGAGCAAACG
rnacentral:rRNA from 1 species